CCUACGGGAGGCAGCGGUGGGGAAUAUUGCGCAAUGGGGGAAACCCUGACGCAGCAACGCCGCGUGCGGGAUGAAGGCUUUCGGGUUGUAAACCGCUUUCAGCAGGGAAGAUAAUGACGGUACCUGCAGAAGAAGCCCCGGCUAACUACGUGCCAGCAGCCGCGGUAAUACGUAGGGGGCAAGCGUUAUCCGGAUUCAUUGGGCGUAAAGCGCGCGCAGGCGGGCCGCUAAGCGGGACCUCUAAUCUUGGGGCUCAACCUCAAGCCGGGUCCCGAACUGGCAGCCUCGAGUGCGGUAGGGGUAAGCGGAAUUCCCGGUGUAGCGGUGGAAUGCGCAGAUAUCGGGAAGAACACCGAUGGCGAAGGCAGCUUACUGGGCCGACACUGACGCUGAGGCGCGAAAGCUAGGGGAGCGAACAGGAUUAGAUACCCUGGUAGUC
rnacentral:rRNA from 1 species